GGGGCUAUAGCUCAGCUGGGAGAGUGCUUGAAUGGCAUUCAAGAGGUCAGGGGUUCGAACCCCCUUAGCUCCACCA
rnacentral:tRNA from 1 species